rnacentral:rRNA from 1 species
GACGAACGCUGGCGGCGUGCUUAACACAUGCAAGUCGAACGGAAAGGCCCUGCUUUUGUGGGGGGCUCGAGUGGCGAACGGGUGGGUAACACGUGAGUAACCUGCCCUUGACUUUGGGAUAACUUCAGGAAACUGGGGCUAAUACCGUAUAGGAGCUCCUGCUGCAUGGUGGUGGUUGGAAAGGUUCGGCGGUUGGGGAUGGACUCGCGGCUUAUCAGCUUUUUGGUGGGGUAGUGGCUUACCAAGGCUUUGAAGGGUAGCCGGCCUGAGAGGGUGACCGGCCACAUUGGGACUGAGAUACGGCCCAGACUCCUACGGGAGGGAGCAGUGGGGAAUAUUGCAAAAUGGGCGGAAGCCUGAUGCAGCAACGCCGCGUGCGGGAUGACGGCCUUCGGGUUGUAAACCGCUUUCGCCUGUGACGAAGCGUGAGUGACGGUAAUGGGUAAAGAAGCACCGGCUAACUACGUG